CCUACGGGUGGCUGCAGUGAGGAAUAUUGGUCAAUGGGCGAGAGCCUGAACCAGCCAAGUCGCGUGAGGGAGUACUGCCCUAUGGGUUGUAAACCUCUUUUGUCGGGGAGCAAAAGCCGGACGUGUCCGGCUGCGAGAGUACCCGAAGAAAAAGCAUCGGCUAACUCCGUGCCAGCAGCCGCGGUAAUACGGAGGAUGCGAGCGUUAUCCGGAUGUAUUGGGUUAAAAGGGUGCGCAGGCGGAGUUUUAAGUCAGCGGUAAAAUCGUGGGGCUCAACCCCAUCCAGCCGUUGAAACUGGGGAUCUAGAGUGUGCGAGAGGUAUGCGGAAUGCGUGGUGUAGCGGUGAAAUGCAUAGAUAUCACGCAGAACCCCGAUUGCGAAGGCAGCAUACCGGUGCACAACUGACGCUCACGCACGAAAGCGUGGGUAUCGAACAGGAUUAGAUACCCUUGUAGUC
rnacentral:rRNA from 1 species